rnacentral:rRNA from 1 species
CCUACCCUUGACAUGUCUGGAAUGCCGAAGAGAUUUGGCAGUGCUCGCAAGAGAACCGGAACACAGGUGCUGCAUGGCUGUCGUCAGCUCGUGUCGUGAGAUGUUGGGUUAAGUCCCGCAACGAGCGCAACCCUUGUCAUUAGUUGCUACGAAAGGGCACUCUAAUGAGACUGCCGGUGACAAACCGGAGGAAGGUGGGGAUGACGUCAAGUCCUCAUGGCCCUUAUGGGUAGGGCUUCACACGUCAUACAAUGGUCGGGACAGAGGGUCGCCAACCCGCGAGGGGGAGCCAAUCCCAGAAACCCGUCGUAGUCCGGAUCGCAGUCUGCAACUCGACUGCGUGAAGUCGGAAUCGCUAGUAAUCGC